GUCCACGCCGUAAACGAUGCAUACUAGUCUUAUGGGGUAUCGACCCCCUGUGAGACGCAGCUAACGCGAUAAGUAUGCCGCCUGGGAAGUACGGCCGCAAGGCUAAAAACUCAAAGGAAUUGACGGGGACCCGCACAAGCAGAGGAUGAUGUGGUUUAAUAUGACGCUACGCGUAGAACCUUACCAAGGCUUGACAUCCUGGGAACCUUCGAGAAAUCGAGGGGUGCCUUCGGGAGCCUAGUGACAGGUGCUGCAUGGCCGUCGU
rnacentral:rRNA from 1 species